UUUCAAACAACACACGUGACACACGUGACUAAACCUGAUUGGUUGUUGUCAUAGUAACACGUCACGGUGCUAUUUGAAACUUGUUCAGUUUAGUUCAGUUGUUCACGGUGCAUGCGGUUGCUUGCAUUAAACGUAUAAACUGUUAAAUUAGAUGGCGACUCUGCAUUAAACGUAUUUAUUUAAUUAAUCGGCGAUCAUAUUUCACCAGAGGACUAAGAUAAAACAACUCGAUUUAAAAUAUGAGCAGUUUUAGUGGAUCUGACGUUGAGGGAAAAAGUAUUUCGCUUUUUGUUUGGAGAUGAACGAGACAACACGAGGCACAGCGACAUAAAUAUGACCAACCAGAUCCCAAGUAGACAGGAACAAAUGAAGAUAUAGCGCAUAGAAAGACUUAUUCUUGGUGAUCAACUGCUAUUGACAUUUUUGAAUCGGGGCAAAUGUGGAGUGAAGAAAAACGUUUGCAACACACCCAUUCCAGAGUGCUCUGACAGAUAAAACUGACACGCUUGAUGAGGACACAGUCAAGCUUUAAAAGCCCGUGUGAUAAAGCAGUCUUCAAUUACUACGGUGUCUGAAUUGCAAUAAGUCAC